rnacentral:lncRNA from 1 species
CGAACGGCCAAACGCCACUACUCCUGGCUCCGCCCACCUUCCCAGACGCUGCUCGCCGGCUGAGGUGCGACCCCCUGGAAGGUGUCCCCGAGCCCCCCAAAAAGUCUAUAUUUAUAGUUUUAUAAUUAAAAGAGGAAAAAAAAGCGUAGACAUGAGGUAAAAAUACCAGCCAUAGUUCCUAACAAGGGCAGAAGAGGCGUGUCUUCCUUCUCCCAUCCGCCCAUCCUGAAUUCCCGUUUAGUUUGUCACGGGUCUCUUGACAAAAAUCUGUAAAAGAAAAAAAAAAAAAAAUUGAAUGAAAAUGGUCCAAAUGGCGUCAUUGGGUAGUGUGACUGUGGACGAUUUAAAAACAAAACGAUUUUCUCUAAAUAUUCUAUGAGCAGUAUUUUUACACUGGAUAAAAAAGGGGAGAGUCGGUUAUUGGCAGAGGGGGGAGGGACUAGACAGCAGGCGUAUUGCAUUCCACGAAGCUGAUUUAAUAAGUGCUGUCUGUGAUGUUUGGCAAGCCUGGUUUAUAUCCAUCUACAAGGAUUUUUUUUUUCUGCUACAGAACAACUACCUUGGUACAAUAAAAAAGACGAGUAUUUACUUUUCAUUGAAAGGUAAGGAUCAUAUUUAGCACAUUUUAAAGAAUGACAAAAAUUACUCAUCUCCAUCUGAAUAAAAGUUUACAGGAUGCAGUCAUUUAGAGAUUUAUUUUAGAUAAUAAUCUUGAUUAUUCUAUGGAAACAGGAAAAUCCACAGAGGUAAUUUGGCAUACUAAUGUAGACAAUAGCCUACUUAACCACAUUAACUAUCUAAACCUGGUCAUAGAAUACAAGUUGUAAAUUAAAAUAUGAAAUAUGAUAAAUUAUUCAUUUCAAAUGAGGAA